AUGAGGGACUUCAAACCUCUCCGAGGAUGCCGGUUGCUGAUGAAAUGAGCUGCAAACUGGUGGCUCAUUUGAUCAAAAGAGAAGAUAGUACCUGGCUUCAGUGUCGAGUACCAAUUUCUUGCUGCUCCCUUCAAGGUAGAUGGAAAAGUUCGGCACAGGAUGGCGUUUGGCAUGUCAUGAAGCAGCAUCAUUGUUUGGAAGGCCUCCAGG
rnacentral:lncRNA from 1 species